AUUGAACGCUGGCGGCAGGCCUAACACAUGCAAGUCGAACGAGUGGCGGACGGGUGAGUAAUGUCUGGGAAACUGCCUGAUGGCGGGGGAUAACUACUGGAAACGGUAGCUAAUACCGCAUACCAUCGGAUGUGCCCAGAUGGGAUUAGCUAGGAGGUGGGGUAACGGCUCACCUAGGCGACGAUCCCUAGCUGGUCUGAGCGGAUGACCAGCCACACGGGAAUGGAGACACGGUCCAGACUCCUACGGGAGGCAGCAGUGGGGAAUAUGGCACAAUGGGCGCAGGCCUGAUGCAGCCAUGCCGCGUGUAUGAAGAAGGCCUUCGGGUUGUAAAGUACUUGCAGCGGGGAGGCGUUACCCGCAGAAGAAGCACCGGCUAACUACGUGCCAGCAGCCGCGGUAAUAC
rnacentral:rRNA from 1 species